rnacentral:rRNA from 1 species
GAUGAACGCUGGCGGCGUGCCUAAUACAUGCAAGUCGAGCGAACAGACGAGGAGCUUGCUCCUCUGACGUUAGCGGCGGACGGGUGAGUAACACGUGGAUAACCUACCUAUAAGACUGGGAUAACUUCGGGAAACCGGAGCUAAUACCGGAUAAUAUAUUGAACCGCAUGGUUCAAUAGUGAAAGACGGUUUUGCUGUCACUUAUAGAUGGAUCCGCGCCGCAUUAGCUAGUUGGUAAGGUAACGGCUUACCAAGGCAACGAUGCGUAGCCGACCUGAGAGGGUGAUCGGCCACACUGGAACUGAGACACGGUCCAGACUCCUACGGGAGGCAGCAGUAGGGAAUCUUCCGCAAUCGGCGAAAGCCUGACGGAGCAACGCCGCGUGAGUGAUGAAGGUCUUCGGAUCGUAAAACUCUGUUAUUAGGGAAGAACAAAUGUGUAAGUAACUAUGCACGUCUUGACGGUACCUAAUCAGAAAGCCACGGCUAACUACGUG